GGGCCCGUAGCUCAGCCAGGAUAGAGCGUCGGCCUGCGGAGCCGGAGGUCGCGGGUUCGAAUCCCGCCGGGCCCG
rnacentral:tRNA from 2 species